rnacentral:lncRNA from 1 species
UUUUUUGUGUGGUGACUCUUGCAUUAAUUAAGGUAAAGAUAAGAUAUAAGUUGGUAAAGUAAAGCCAAUUGUGAUUGCUCAUAGAGGUUGACAAGACUUGGUUAUCAAGGUUGGAUUUGUGUACUUAUAAAAUUGCUUCUGAGGUGGGUGUCAAUAUAUGCUAAUACGUCAAUGGUGAACCAUUUCAGGUGAUUGCAAUAUUAGAUAAGAUAAAGAAUGAAAAGAAAGAUUCAGAAACCCAAGACGAGGAACAACUGGAAUCAUCCGAGGCACCUGAGGAUGACGUAGAUUGGGAGGCUGAUGACCCUGAUGAAGACAUUAUAUACAUAAAAUAGUUACUCUCCCUAGUUCCUGAGCAUUAUGCUAUUUUGAUUGAGGCUUGGCUACGCUUGUCUACAGGUUUGUUUCAUUUUCUUCACUUUCUUUGUUGCAACAGGCUAUAUGGAUUGUAAUCAGUGUUAACAUUAAAUUAUAUACCGUUUACAAAUAUAUAUGUCUGUAUGUUUUAAUUGUUUCUUUCCAUUCGCUGAAAUUGGACACAAACAUAAUUUAAAUGAAGCGGACUACCUGCAAUUUGGUUUGACAAUGCUUGGUCUACUUAGAUGCAAUCAAUUAGUUGUUGGAAUCAACUUUAGGAAGGAUUAGUGUUGUGUUUGUGUAUUUGAUUAGAAUUUAGAUGAUGUUGGGAUUAAAACUAGCGUACUAUGAUUGAAUUAGGAGUUUUGGUACGGACACACAGAGUGGCCAACUUUAAGGUACAAGGUUUGAUCUCUGAACACCUCCCACUCCAGAGGUUUAAUAAACUUUAUUAUGCUCAGAAGAAGUGUAUAAUGCUUCAUUUACUUUCCAUAAUGCAGGCAAGCACGAUAAGUCACAACGCUAACCUAGACAGAAAAACUCUUCACGGCUGGAGCCCCAUCGUUUAAAUUACGAGCUUCAACCAUGGCACACCUUGUAAAAUUACCUAUAAUGUUUCCGUUCUUUUCUUCAGGUAUGCUUGUGAUUUGCUUUUUGUUUUGGUUAUCUAAAACCAGAAGCAGAAAUUGUGGUAUUUAUAGUGCUAGAUAGUUCACGAAGUUGACAAUCCACAUGAUGUGAAUGAAAUUCUCUUAUAAACCUGUCUGCCUUUGUGAUAUUCUGCUGUGUCUGUUCUACUAGGGUCGCUUUACUACCGAUAUCACCUACUAGUUACUGAUAUUUGUGGUCAAUAAGGUGCCGCAGCACUAGCUCGUAUUCUCGUCCAGUGGUCAGAUUACCGGGACAGAACUGAAAAUUUAUCAUUAGCACGUCGACGAGCCUU